ACCAUUCCCAUGGAAUCUUCUUCCUCCGUAUCAAUGGCUCCUCCAGACUCUCCGUCCUCUCUAUCCCCCCUCUCCCACUUUCUCUCUCUCAAUUGAAUCUCCGAAAUGUUUGUGUUUGUGCUGAUUUUGGGUGCAGGUUUUCUCCAUGUCCCCCUUUGCUACAGAUCUAGGUAUGUGCAAAACUUUUGCCUCACUUUGUAGUUGAAUGAGUAGAACAAUGAAAUUAAAUCGACCACUGGUUUGUCUUUUGGGGAGUAUUGAUUGAUUUCCCACUAAAAAAUAUAUUGCCUUAUUCUGGAGUGUUAAAAAAUAAUGUGGCAACUAUUGCAUAUGUUUGCUUUUUAUAAUAUUGCACACGCUCUGAAAAUGUUUUUCUCAAUACUAUAUGCGGAAGAUUUUAUUCUUACUAAUUUUGAGGUUAACCUGUUUAAUUGGUGAAGUCUAACCACAUGACAGUGCUGAAAGAUGGUGUGUAUAAGACCCCAGUAAGUACGCCCAUGUUUUGGUUCAGAAAAGUACACGCAUGUUGUCCAUGUGAAAUAUAUACAUCCAAUGAAUUUUGGUUUAUCAAGUGUUACUAAUUCCAUGUGAUCUUUUGUUUUUCUCUAAUUCAGAUGUUUCACUACAGUUGUGAAAAGUCGGGGCUGAUGUCUCGAGCAUCAGGACUGUAGCAUCACCCCGUCGGUGGAGGACGCCAAGCCUGUCGCUACCCAUUAUCCAAGCUAUCACCGGCGAUGAGAAAUUAUCCGGAGCUUAGGCAACCAUAACGUCUCCAAAUCCUCAAACAAUCAGGAUUCUUAAUCAUCAUUCG